CCCUUAGAUGUUCUGGGCAGCACGCGCGCUACAAUGGUCUUCGCAAACGGAUGCAUUCUCGAAGGAGAAUGCCAAUCUUGGAAUCUAUGCCUUGGUCGGGACAGUUGCUUGCAAUUUUUCGACUCGAACUAGGAAUUCCUUGUAAUCGUGAUUCAUCACAUCACGAUGAAUACGUCCCUGCCCUUUGUACACACCGCCCGUCGCUCCUACCGAUCGAAGAGUUAGGUGAAUUGUUUUGAUCGAUAAGAUUUGACUAUGGUCAACUCUCGUUGUGAAAUUCUGUGAAUCUGACUGUUUAGAGGAAGGAAAAGUCGUAACA
rnacentral:rRNA from 1 species